AGGUUGCACGAACAAAAUAUCUACCUUUUUAGGGCUAUUUUGUCGUCUUUUCUUACCUAUGAUGGUCAAGCUGGUUAUGUUUCUUACCGUCAGAGCGAGAAUCUUAACCCUUACAGUGGUGGUGGUUGUUGUCUUGUACAACUUGCCACAAAUCAGUGAUUGCACAUGGUGCUCAAUACACAUACUCUAAUUUAAAUGUUUUGUUGUUGCUGCAUUGCAUUGCCGAGGUACUGAGAGCAGCUACCUUGACAUAGGGCAUGCUCCUGAGGAAGGGGUUGAGGAGGUCAGGGUGAGGGGCAGAGAGAGACUCCCCCAGUUUUAGCUUGUGGCUCUGGUGUACUAGACAAAUUAGCUUAUAUGCUCCUAUUGCGGAAAUUAAUUGAUUAUGAAGCAAAUAAGAUGACGUUGGUCUGUCCCUAAUGCCUUCUUUCAAGCCCUGGUGAGUUCAGAUGUUCUACUUCUCAUAGCUACUUAUGAGCCAUAUUUACAGAUCUGUAAUGAUUAUGCAAUUAUAUUUUGUCUUGCCGCUUUUCAUUUUUAUUCUAGGUCAUUUGUUUAGCCAAAAAAAUGUUGGUUUACCUUUCAUCUAAAGAAAGGCUUUCUAAAAUUGUUAACAUUCUGCCUUAGUAUUCCUGAUGUUGCGUACAUGGUUUCAUGCGUUUCUUUUACCUCCCUUUGAUUAUCGUUCAGCAAAUGUUUGAAUGAAGAUGUCCAUGCUCUAGAAAGUUUCGAUCAAAUUUCGUUGUAUAUGAACCAAGAUCUACAGAUGUCCAUGCUCUACAGGUUACAUGGUGUACGGUACAGUUCUGGGAGUUAGCUGAUGACAGUAUAUUUGCACUUUUAUUUUGGUGCUUAACAGAGUCAGUUGCAGGUGUUAACAGUAUUCAUGUGCACCAAGGAUCUCUAGGAGUUGAGGAGGAAUGAGGAGUCCAUGGCCAUCAAUUGGCGGCGCCAGGAAGCUCAGCAAGAGG